rnacentral:rRNA from 1 species
UACGAAGGGGGCUAGCGUUGUUCGGAAUUACUGGGCGUAAAGGGCGCGUAGGCGGUCUUGUCAGUCGGAAGUGAAAGCCCCGGGCUCAACCUGGGAACUGCUUUCGAUACUGCAAGACUUGAGUUCCGGAGAGGAUGGUGGAAUUCCCAGUGUAGAGGUGAAAUUCGUAGAUAUUGGGAAGAACACCGGUGGCGAAGGCGGCCAUCUGGACGGACACUGACGCUGAGGCGCGAAAGCGUGGGGAGCAAACAGG